rnacentral:rRNA from 1 species
UUAAGUUAUUAAGGGCGCACGGUGGAUGCCUUGGCACUAGAAGCCGAUGAAGGACGUUACUAACGACGAUAUGCUUUGGGGAGCUGUAAGUAAGCUUUGAUCCAGAGAUUUCCGAAUGGGGAAACCCAGCAUGAGUUAUGUCAUGUUAUCGAUAUGUGAAUACAUAGCAUAUCAGAAGGCACACCCGGAGAACUGAAACAUCUUAGUACCCGGAGGAAGAGAAAGAAAAUUCGAUUCCCUUAGUAGCGGCGAGCGAAACGGGAAGAGCCCAAACCAACAAGCUUGCUUGUUGGGGUUGUAGGACACUCUAUACGGAGUUACAAAGGACGACAUUAGACGAAUCAUCUGGAAAGAUGAAUCAAAGAAGGUAAUAAUCCUGUAGUCGAAAAUGUUGUCUCUCUUGAGUGGAUCCUGAGUACGACGGAGCACGUGAAAUUCCGUCGGAAUCUGGGAGGACCAUCUCCUAAGGCUAAAUACUCUCUAGUGACCGAUAGUGAACCAGUACCGUGAGGGAAAGGUGAAAAGCACCCCGGAAGGGGAGUGAAAUAGAACCUGAAACCGUGUGCUUACAAGUAGUCAGAGCCCGUUAAUGGGUGAUGGCGUGCCUUUUGUAGAAUGAACCGGCGAGUUACGAUUUGAUGCAAGGUUAAGCAGUAAAUGUGGAGCCGUAGCGAAAGCGAGUCUGAAUAGGGCGUUUAGUAUUUGGUCGUAGACCCGAAACCAGGUGAUCUACCCUUGGUCAGGUUGAAGUUCAGGUAACACUGAAUGGAGGACCGAACCGACUUACGUUGAAAAGUGAGCGGAUGAACUGAGGGUAGCGGAGAAAUUCCAAUCGAACCUGGAGAUAGCUGGUUCUCUCCGAAAUAGCUUUAGGGCUAGCCUCAAGUGAUGAUUAUUGGAGGUAGAGCACUGUUUGGACGAGGGGCCCCUCUCGGGUUACCGAAUUCAGACAAACUCCGAAUGCCAAUUAAUUUAACUUGGGAGUCAGAACAUGGGUGAUAAGGUCCGUGUUCGAAAGGGAAACAGCCCAGACCACCAGCUAAGGUCCCAAAAUAUAUGUUAAGUGGAAAAGGAUGUGGCGUUGCCCAGACAACUAGGAUGUUGGCUUAGAAGCAGCCAUCAUUUAAAGAGUGCGUAAUAGCUCACUAGUCGAGUGACACUGCGCCGAAAAUGUACCGGGGCUAAACAUAUUACCGAAGCUGUGGAUUGUCCUUUGGACAAUGGUAGGAGAGCGUUCUAAGGGCGUUGAAGCAUGAUCGUAAGGACAUGUGGAGCGCUUAGAAGUGAGAAUGCCGGUGUGAGUAGCGAAAGACGGGUGAGAAUCCCGUCCACCGAUUGACUAAGGUUUCCAGAGGAAGGCUCGUCCGCUCUGGGUUAGUCGGGUCCUAAGCUGAGGCCGACAGGCGUAGGCGAUGGAUAACAGGUUGAUAUUCCUGUACCACCUAUAAUCGUUUUAAUCAAUGGGGGGACGCAGUAGGAUAGGCGAAGCGUGCGAUUGGAUUGCACGUCUAAGCAGUAAGGCUGAGUAUUAGGCAAAUCCGGUACUCGUUAAGGCUGAGCUGUGAUGGGGAGAAGACAUUGAGUCUUCGAGUCGUUGAUUUCACACUGCCGAGAAAAGCCUCUAGAUAGAAAAUAGGUGCCCGUACCGCAAACCGACACAGGUAGUCAAGAUGAGAAUUCUAAGGUGAGCGAGCGAACUCUCGUUAAGGAACUCGGCAAAAUGACCCCGUAACUUCGGGAGAAGGGGUGCUCUUUAGGGUUAACGCCCAGAAGAGCCGCAGUGAAUAGGCCCAAGCGACUGUUUAUCAAAAACACAGGUCUCUGCUAAACCGUAAGGUGAUGUAUAGGGGCUGACGCCUGCCCGGUGCUGGAAGGUUAAGAGGAGUGGUUAGCUUCUGCGAAGCUACGAAUCGAAGCCCCAGUAAACGGCGGCCGUAACUAUAACGGUCCUAAGGUAGCGAAAUUCCUUGUCGGGUAAGUUCCGACCCGCACGAAAGGCGUAACGAUUUGGGCACUGUCUCAACGAGAGACUCGGUGAAAUCAUAGUACCUGUGAAGAUGCAGGUUACCCGCGACAGGACGGAAAGACCCCGUGGAGCUUUACUGUAGCCUGAUAUUGAAAUUCGGCACAGCUUGUACAGGAUAGGUAGGAGCCUUUGAAACGUGAGCGCUAGCUUACGUGGAGGCGCUGGUGGGAUACUACCCUAGCUGUGUUGGCUUUCUAACCCGCACCACUUAUCGUGGUGGGAGACAGUGUCAGGCGGGCAGUUUGACUGGGGCGGUCGCCUCCUAAAAGGUAACGGAGGCGCUCAAAGGUUCCCUCAGAAUGGUUGGAAAUCAUUCAUAGAGUGUAAAGGCAUAAGGGAGCUUGACUGCGAGACCUACAAGUCGAGCAGGGUCGAAAGACGGACUUAGUGAUCCGGUGGUUCCGCAUGGAAGGGCCAUCGCUCAACGGAUAAAAGCUACCCCGGGGAUAACAGGCUUAUCUCCCCCAAGAGUUCACAUCGACGGGGAGGUUUGGCACCUCGAUGUCGGCUCAUCGCAUCCUGGGGCUGUAGUCGGUCCCAAGGGUUGGGCUGUUCGCCCAUUAAAGCGGUACGCGAGCUGGGUUCAGAACGUCGUGAGACAGUUCGGUCCCUAUCCGUCGUGGGCGUAGGAAAUUUGAGAGGAGCUGUCCUUAGUACGAGAGGACCGGGAUGGACAUACCUCUGGUGUACCAGUUGUCGUGCCAACGGCAUAGCUGGGUAGCUAUGUGUGGACGGGAUAAGUGCUGAAAGCAUCUAAGCAUGAAGCCCCCCUCAAGAUGAGAUUUCCCAACUUCGGUUAUAAGAUCCCUCAAAGAUGAUGAGGUUAAUAGGUUCGAGGUGGAAGCAUGGUGACAUGUGGAGCUGACGAAUACUAAUCGAUCGAAGACUUAAUCAA